UUGCAGAUGGGAGACUCUCUGCUUGUCUGCAAUCAGCUCCAUGAGGGAUAUGUCUGAAAGGUGUGAUGACCGUGGGAUGAAAGUUUCCUUCUGUAGUCCAAAAGCACCAGUGGGCUCCUAGGCAUUCUGCUGAUUGCAAGGAACAGAGAAGGCCAUGAUAGGAGCAAACAGGAAAACAUGCACAGAUCUCCUAAGGAGGCUUCUGGGCACGUGUUUUUGCUUACUGCCUAAUGUGGUUCUAAUAACACAAACAUUCCAGCGAAGCAAUGACGACACAGCGAGAGCUACAGAUAUUAGAGGCCCACGCAAUGGAAGCGUUUGGGGGAAAGAACAGCGAAUGCGUCUCUGACAUUUUCUUGUUACUGUCUUGGUAUGACUCCUCCUGGCCUGCAUUAACAGAAGAAGAAACACAGACCGAGCAAAAGUGAACGAGAGG